rnacentral:SRP_RNA from 1 species
UGCUGGUUGUCUCGCAAUUGUACUUUGCAAACCCCGCCAGGACCGGAAGGUAGCAACGGUAGCAAAUCUAUGAUGUGCCGGGUUUUUGCUAGCAGGG